UACGGGGGGAGCAAGCGUUGUUCGGAUUUACUGGGCGUAAAGGGCGCGUAGGCGGUCAGCACAAGUCAGUUGUGAAAUCUCCGGGCUUAACUCGGAAAGGUCAACUGAUACUGUGCGACUAGAGUGCAGAAGGGGCAACUGGAAUUCUCGGUGUAGCGGUGAAAUGCGCAGAUAUCAGGAGGAACACCAGCGGCGAAGGCGGCGCUCUGGGCCGGAACUGACGCUGAGGAGCGAAAGCGUGGGUAGCAAACAGG
rnacentral:rRNA from 1 species